rnacentral:rRNA from 1 species
AUACAUGCAAGUCGAACGAGUUCUGAUUAUUGAAAGGUGCUUGCAUCUUGAUUUAAUUUUGAACGAGUGGCGGACGGGUGAGUAACACGUGGGUAACCUGCCCUUAAGUGGGGGAUAACAUUUGGAAACAGAUGCUAAUACCGCAUAAAUCCAAGAACCGCAUGGUUCUUGGCUGAAAGAUGGCGUAAGCUAUCGCUUUUGGAUGGACCCGCGGCGUAUUAGCUAGUUGGUGAGGUAACGGCUCACCAAGGCAAUGAUACGUAGCCGAACUGAGAGGUUGAUCGGCCACAUUGGGACUGAGACACGGCCCAAACUCCUACGGGAGGCAGCAGUAGGGAAUCUUCCACAAUGGACGCAAGUCUGAUGGAGCAACGCCGCGUGAGUGAAGAAGGCUUUCGGGUCGUAAAACUCUGUUGUUGGAGAAGAAUGGUCGGCAGAGUAACUGUUGUCGGCGUGACGGUAUCCAACCAGAAAGCCACGGCUAACUACGUGCCAGCAGCCGCGGUAAUACGUAGGUGGCAAGCGUUAUCCGGAUUUAUUGGGCGUAAAGCGAGCGCAGGCGGUUUUUUAAGUCUGAUGUGAAAGCCCUCGGCUUAACCGAGGAAGUGCAUCGGAAACUGGGAAACUUGAGUGCAGAAGAGGACAGUGGAACUCCAUGUGUAGCGGUGAAAUGCGUAGAUAUAUGGAAGAACACCAGUGGCGAAGGCGGCUGUCUGGUCUGUAACUGACGCUGAGGCUCGAAAGCAUGGGUAGCGAACAGGAUUAGAUACCCUGGUAGUCCAUGCCGUAAACGAUGAAUGCUAGGUGUUGGAGGGUUUCCGCCCUUCAGUGCCGCAGCUAACGCAUUAAGCAUUCCGCCUGGGGAGUACGACCGCAAGGUUGAAACUCAAAGGAAUUGACGGGGGCCCGCACAAGCGGUGGAGCAUGUGGUUUAAUUCGAAGCAACGCGAAGAACCUUACCAGGUCUUGACAUCUUUUGAUCACCUGAGAGAUCAGGUUUCCCCUUCGGGGGCAAAAUGACAGGUGGUGCAUGGUUGUCGUCAGCUCGUGUCGUGAGAUGUUGGGUUAAGUCCCGCAACGAGCGCAACCCUUAUGACUAGUUGCCAGCAUUUAGUUGGGCACUCUAGUAAGACUGCCGGUGACAAACCGGAGGAAGGUGGGGAUGACGUCAAAUCAUCAUGCCCCUUAUGACCUGGGCUACACACGUGCUACAAUGGAUGGUACAACGAGUUGCGAGACCGCGAGGUCAAGCUAAUCUCUUAAAGCCAUUCUCAGUUCGGACUGUAGGCUGCAACUCGCCUACACGAAGUCGGAAUCGCUAGUAAUCGCGGAUCAGCACGCCGCGGUGAAUACGUUCCCGGGCCUUGUACACACCGCCCGUCACACCAUGAGAGUUUGUAACACCCGAAGCCGGUGGCGUAACCCUUUUAGGGAGCGAGCCGUC